rnacentral:misc_RNA from 1 species
GAAAUGCGAUAAGUAAUGUGAAUUGCAGAAUUCCGUGAAUCAUCGAAUCUUUGAACGCACAUUGCGCCCUCUGGUAUUCCGGGGGCAUGCCUGUCCGAUCGUCAUUGCGAACCCCUCAAGCACGGCUUGUGUGAUGGGCCCUCCCGCGUCUUGGUCGUCAAGACGGGCCCGAAAUGCAGUGGCGGCUUCGCGGUUAUCCGAUCAGCCAGAGCGUAUGGGGACUCUCUCUCUUGUCACACGCCCGCGGCGCGGACCGACGCCUGUCGACCUUUAUUCAUCUUCUCUCGGUUGACCUCGGAUCAGGUAGGGAUACCCGCUGAACUUAAGC